CUCAACCUGGGAACUGCAUUCGAAACUGGCAGGCUAGAGUCUUGUAGAGGGGGGUAGAAUUCCAGGUGUAGCGGUGAAAUGCGUAGAGAUCUGGAGGAAUACCGGUGGCGAAGGCGGCCCCCUGGACAAAGACUGACGCUCAGGUGCGAAAGCGUGGGGAGCAAACAGGAUUAGAUACCCCGCUAGUAUUCCUCGUAAACGAUGUCGACUUUGAGGUUGUGCCCUUGAGGUGUGGCUUCCGGAGCUAACGCGUUAAGUCGGCAGUUUUGAGGGCUACGGCCGCGAGGUUAAAACUCAAUUGACAUGACGGGGGACCGCACAAGCGGUGGAGCAUGUGGUUUAAUUCGAUGCAACGCGAAGAACCCCUACUUACUCUUGACAUCCAGAGAACUUAGCAGAGAUGGAUUGGUGCUUUCGGGAACUCUGAGACAGGUGCUGCAUGGCUGUCGUCAGCUCGUGUUCCGAAAUGAUGGGUUAAGUCCCGCAACGAGCUCAACCCACAUCCUUUGUUGCCAGCGGUUCGGCCGGGAACUCAAAGGAUCCUGCCAGUGAUAAACUCCCGGAAGGUGGGGAUGACGUCACGUCAUCAGUGUCCUUGCUCGUCGGGUUAGACCCGUGAUACAUUGGCGCAUACAAAGGGAAGUGACC
rnacentral:rRNA from 1 species